AGAGUGAACGCUGGCGGUAGGCCUAACACAUGCAAGUCGAACGGCAGCACAGUGGCAGCAAUACCAUGGGUGGCGAGUGGCGGACGGGUGAGGAAUACAUCGGAAUCUACCUUUUCGUGGGGGAUAACGUAGGGAAACUUACGCUAAUACCGCAUACGCCCUUCGGGGGAAAGCCGGGGAUCGCAAGACCUGGCGCGGAUAGAUGAGCCGAUGUCGGAUUAGCUAGUUGGUGAGGUAAUGGCUCACCAAGGCGACGAUCCGUAGCUGGUCUGAGAGGAUGAUCAGCCACACUGGAACUGAGACACGGUCCAGACUCCUACGGGAGCAGCAGUGGGAAUAUUGACAAU
rnacentral:rRNA from 1 species